rnacentral:rRNA from 1 species
GGUAUCAAACAGGAUUAGAUACCCUGGUAGUCCACGCUGGUAAACGAUGAUCACUAGCUGUUUGCGAUACAUUGUAAGUGGUUAAGCGAAAGCGAUAAGUGAUCCACCUGGGGAGUACGUCGGCUACGAUGAAACUCAAAGGAAUUGACGGGGGCCCGCACAAGCGGAGGAGCAUGUGGUUUAAUUCGAUGAUACGCGAGGAACCUUACCUGGGCUUGAACGUAUGGUGCAUGAGUGUGAAAGCACUCUGUCCUUCACAGGACUUCAUACGAGGUGCUGCAUGGUUGUCGUCAGCUCGUGCCGUGAGGUGUUAGGUUAAGUCCUGCAACGAGCGCAACCCCUGUUUUUAGUUGCCAGCAGGUUAUGCUGGGCACUCUAGAAAGACUGCCUGCGCAAGCAGAGAGGAAGGUGGGGAUGACGUCAAAUCAGCACGGCCCUUACGUCCAGGGCUACACACGUGCUACAAUGGUCGGCACAGAGGGUGGCUACCCGGCAACGGGAUGCUAAUCUCCAAAGUCGAUCUUAGUUCGGAUCGAAGUCUGCAACUCGACUUCGUGAAGUUGGAUUCGCUAGUAAUCGUAUAUCAGCCAUGAUACGGUGAAUACGUUCCCGGGCAUUGUACACACCGCCCGUCAAGCCAUGGAAGUUGGGGGUACCUGAAGUCGAUUACCGUAAGGGAUUGCCUAGGGUAAACCGAUAACUGGGGCUAAGUC